rnacentral:rRNA from 1 species
CAGUCGAACGAUGAUGCCCAGCUUGCUGGGUUGAUUAGUGGCGAACGGGUGAGUAACACGUGAGUAACCUGCCCCUGACUCUGGGAUAAGCGUUGGAAACGACGUCUAAUACUGGAUAUGACGACUGGUCGCAUGGCCUGGUCGUGGAAAGAUUUUUUGGUUGGGGAUGGACUCGCGGCCUAUCAGCUUGUUGGUGAGGUAAUGGCUCACCAAGGCGACGACGGGUAGCCGGCCUGAGAGGGUGACCGGCCACACUGGGACUGAGACACGGCCCAGACUCCUACGGGAGGCAGCAGUGGGGAAUAUUGCACAAUGGGCGAAAGCCUGAUGCAGCAACGCCGCGUGAGGGAUGACGGCCUUCGGGUUGUAAACCUCUUUUAGUAGGGAAGAAGCGAAAGUGACGGUACCUGCAGAAAAAGCACCGGCUAACUACGUGCCAGCAGCCGCGGUAAUACGUAGGGUGCAAGCGUUGUCCGGAAUUAUUGGGCGUAAAGAGCUCGUAGGCGGUUUGUCGCGUCUGCUGUGAAAUCCCGAGGCUCAACCUCGGGCUUGCAGUGGGUACGGGCAGACUAGAGUGCGGUAGGGGAGAUUGGAAUUCCUGGUGUAGCGGUGGAAUGCGCAGAUAUCANGAGGAACACCGAUGGCGAAGGCAGAUCUCUGGGCCGUAACUGACGCUGAGGAGCGAAAGCAUGGGGAGCGAACAGGAUUAGAUACCCUGGUAGUCCAUGCCGUA